rnacentral:rRNA from 1 species
GAUGAACGCUGGCGGCGUGCCUAAUACAUGCAAGUCGAGCGAACGGACGAGAAGCUUGCUUCUUUGAUGUUAGCGGCGGACGGGUGAGUAACAUGUGGAUAAUCUACCUAUAUGACUGGGAUAAUUUCGGGAAACCGGAGCUAAUACCGGAUAAUAUUUUGCACCGUAUGGUUCAAAAGUGAAAGACGGUCUUGCUGUCACUAAUAGAUGGAUCUGCGCUGCAUUAGCUAGUUGGUAAGGUAACGGCUUAUCAAGGAAACGAUGCAUAGCCGAACGGAGAGGGUGAUCGGCCACACUAGAGCUGAGACACGGUCCAGACUCCUACGGGAGGCAGCAGUAGGGAAUCUUCCGCAGUGGGCGAAAGCCUGGCGGAGCAACGCCACGUGAGUGAUGAAGGUCUUCGGUUCGUGAAACUCUGUUAUUAGGGAAGAACAUAUGUGUAAGUAACUGUACACAUCUUGACGGUACCUAAUCAGGAAGCCACGGCUAACUACGUG